rnacentral:rRNA from 1 species
UCACUAGUAGAUGGACCUGCGUUGUAUUAGCUAGUUGGUGGGGUAACGGCCUACCAAGGCGACGAUACAUAGCCGACCUGAGAGGGUGAUCGGCCACACUGGGACUGAGACACGGCCCAGACUCCUACGGGAGGCAGCAGUAGGGAAUCUUCGGCAAUGGGGGCAACCCUGACCGAGCAACGCCGCGUGAGUGAAGAAGGUUUUCGGAUCGUAAAGCUCUGUUGUAAGAGAAGAACGUGUGUGAGAGUGGAAAGUUCACACAGUGACGGUAACUUACCAGAAAGGGACGGCUAAUUACGUGCCAGCAGCCGCGGUAAUACGUAGGUCCCGAGCGUUGUCCGGAUUUAUUGGGCGUAAAGCGAGCGCAGGCGGUUUAAUAAGUCUGAAGUUAAAGGCAGUGGCUUAACCAUUGUUCGCUUUGGAAACUGUUAAACUUGAGUGCAGAAGGGGAGAGUGGAAUUCCAUGUGUAGCGGUGAAAUGCGUAGAUAU